rnacentral:rRNA from 1 species
GACGAACGCUGGCGGCGUGCUUAACACAUGCAAGUCGAACGGAAAGGCCCUGCUUUUGUGGGGUGCUCGAGUGGCGAACGGGUGAGUAACACGUGAGUAACCUGCCCUUGACUUUGGGAUAACUUCAGGAAACUGGGGCUAAUACCGGAUAGGAGCUCCUGCUGCAUGGUGGGGGUUGGAAAGUUUCGGCGGUUGGGGAUGGACCGGCGGCUUAUCAGCUUGUUGGUGGGGUAGUGGCUUACCAAGGCUUUGACGGGUAGCCGGCCUGAGAGGGUGACCGGCCACAUUGGGACUGAGAUACGGCCCAGACUCCUACGGGAGGCAGCAGUGGGGAAUAUUGCACAAUGGGCGGAAGCCUGAUGCAGCAACGCCGCGUGCGGGAUGACGGCCUUCGGGUUGUAAACCGCUUUCGCCUGUGACGAAGCGUGAGUGACGGUAAUGGGUAAAGAAGCACCGGCUAACUACGUG